rnacentral:misc_RNA from 1 species
AUGUUUACCAGUUUUCGAAAAUCUAAACGCUUGCGUUGGUUUAGAAUGGAGCAUGCUCGUAGGAGAAGCAUAAAUGAAAGGGAGACUAUGAUUGUUUUCGUCUAUGACACUGAGUGUCUUAAAGACGAGGCUGAUGAUCCGGUUAAGGCAGUGCUCUACUUUCAUCCCAGUUGGGUAUCGGACACACAGAAGGUGGCUCUUUGUGGUCAGCUUAUGGGCACAUCGUAUUUUCUAAAGGAUUGUUUCUUUAAACCGAAAAUAAUGGCAUUGCAGAAUGGCAAAUUUGUACUUAAGGAAUUUGGCAGAUUCACGUUGGUGGUCGGCACUGAUCGCAAUAUCUCAGAUUAUUUGCUGCAACAACGCGCUGAUCUGCUCGCCUCGCUGGUGAAGUUCUUUCAUCGUGAUCUGCAAAGCGUUUUCGAUCAGUUCCCACAACAAGCACAAUAUAAGAAUCUCUCCGAAAAGCUAUAUCAUAUAUUCGAAACAUAUCUACCGAUUUUACAACGCAAUGGACAUAUUUUUCAAAACGUACCAAAACUGCGUAUGCCAAAAACGGCUAGUAAUAUAUUUUUGGAUGCCAUACAAACACUACAAUGCUGUCAACAAACAAAGGGUAUUUUGGGCGGCGCCGUGUUAUAUCAUAACAAAGUGGUCGCCACCCAACUGGGUGAUACCAUAACCAAACAGCUGGUACUUACCGAUCCGCUACAUAUACGCACCACCGCCGAGCAAAUACACAUCACCGAUUUCCACAUACCUAACGGUGUACAAAUGUUGAUAGUUUAUGUUGACGUUCCACAAUACAGUCGUUUAGCUGCCGACGCACAACGCGCCCAAACUUUGCAGACCACACAACUGUCACAGGGUUUGCUGCCGUUUCAGUAUGCAAAGCGUAAAAUGAAACGCGAUAAAUCGUUAAUAUUUACAAACAUACCAGAAGAGGGUAGCAGCACAGCUGUUGGCAUGACCGGUGAAGAUGUUGAAGAAGAAGGUGUUGUCGCAAUUACAGCUGCGUCGCAAACACCGGCAUCAGUGCGGCCUAAAUCCCUGUUGAUACGACCCAAUCAUCUGCCUUUGCGCAAUCGCAACGGCAUGGGUAGUUCGAAGGAGUUGCCCGAGUCGGGCAUUGCUUCGAUAAAUUUCGACGAGACCGAUUCGUAUCCGGAAUUUAUAGGACGCACUAGCGUGUGCUCCACGCCAAUGACCGAGAAUAAAGUGCUGCAAGUGGGGAGCAUAAUGUCUAUAUGCGCAAAUACUGAGGACGAGAACAACUCGAAUAAGCAAAGCACACAAAAACCCAAUCGCCGUAAUUCGUUGAAAUUCGAUUUUGAGAAGUUCUUUCAAAAUUUCAUCGCCAAUCCAAAUAAGCAAAUGGAGCGCCGCAACUCUUUUACCGACUUGCAAGAUUCGCUCAAGAAGAUCUCGAAGAAAUUAUCUUUAAAACAAUUUUCGCAUAGCUUUAAGACUGAUGUCAAUCGUAAUGGCAGCGUAAGCGGCAUCGAGGCCGUUGAAUCGCCUGAUUUUAUCGAGAAUGACGAUGAUAUUGAUGACGCCGAGCAAAACUCGGAUAACUCUGAGGAGAAUAAUCGUACAUCACGCACCAUAACAGAUCCCACCUAUCCCGUUUUUAAUGAGAAUGGUCAACCCAUUUCGCGUAGCCUUUUUCAGGAAUUUAUCGAAAAAUAUUAUCGCCUUUGGGUCGAGAAUGGCAGCGGUAAUGAUAGCGCCAAAAAGGAUGUCGAAAUCGCACAACUUAUUGAGGAAUUUAAGGAGUUUGAUAACGAGCUGAAAAAGUUGGAUGGAUCGUUGCGUCAGGACUCGGCAGAGAAUGGCAGCGGCACAACAGCUUUGAAAGCAGAUCGCAACCUAAAUACUGAACUACCCGCCGCUGUGGUGAUAAAAGCGAAAACACCGCUUGAUAAGAAAUCACUUAGUCUUCCCCUCAAGCCACUCGCCGAUGCGGCUGUGCCAUCUAAUGAACGUGAAUUGCCCUUUGUUAUGGGUGGUCGCAAGCAAUCAGGUGGUGUGCCACUAACACCACUUAUGGCUAAACUCUCUGUGCUGGCACUGAAUGAGGAACACAACAGCAGCAGCAACGGCGCUUGGGAUGUCAGCACAGUUGAAAUACAAACGCCAAUCAAUACCACCAAAGUAUUUUCGCGACGCAGUUCGUGGAAAUGUGAUGAUGCAGUGGAUGCUUUAGCGACACUGUCCGCAACCACACAGGGCACGUCCAACGGCCUGAAACGUUUAGAGCUGUAUAUGUGCGGUCAGCAAAAUAUGACGUUGCUGUUGUUGAUGGAAGAGGGUACGGCACGUCAGCAGCCGAUUGUGCAAAAAAUGUUCGAUAUUUGCGUAGCGAAAUUUCCUCAUAUGGAAUCACAUCUGAAUCAAACGCUCAAUGUCAAUGUGGAAGGCGAUAAGCGUGAAGGCGGCUAUAGUUUCAUGAGUAUCGAUGCGAAAUGGGAUACGUUAGAGCGUAAUGGACCAUGGAACCCAAUGGAAUUGAACACACUCGAAUGUAUGCAUCAAGAUUUGCAGCCGAGUGAUCAAAUUACCGAUUUGAUUUUAAGAUCACAUGAUGCAGUAUUCUAUGGCUACAAGUCCGGACGUGCCGAAUUCUUUUACAAAGAAGCCGCACAUUCUACCAAUGGCAUACCGCCACCCUCCGAUCCCAUGGGCAAUGUAGCCGCACGCGCUAAAACACAACUAGAACGAGAUAAUUCUUACAUUUUGUUUUAAAAUCAACUUAAAUUUCUAUGUCGCGGUUGCUGGAGCGCUACAAAAGCGAUUCGAAAGGAAAGUGAAGAAUUAAUGUAUUUACCAAGUAGUAGCAACAAUAGCAAGGAAAUAAUUUUUCGCUUCAAAUUUAGUGCGCCAUUAGUCUAGCGCCGCUACUUAUACAUAGAUACAGCACACUUUGACUUAAACCACUCGCAACUGAAAGAAAUAACAAAUUACAAGGCGUGCAUAGUUUAGAAAAUAUUUCCUUCAAAAGAAAGUGCAAGUUGUAUUUGCUACUUAUAGACGAUUUUUUUAUUACGAGUUACUUAAGUUGUGUGAUAAGAAAGCGUAUUGACAAGCUGUCUUAUAUAUAUGUAUGUAGAGAAAUGCAUUUAAAAGUACAUCAUUGAAAUGACCGGCUCGCGAAUUUUCGGUAGCAUCGAACCUUUUUGAGGUCCCGCUGAACCCAGAUGUUUUAGUAAUAACAUGUAUAUUAUGUGCGGACCAAUGGAUUUGGAGGUUUUUCGCCUUCACGAUAAGCCCCUGAACAUUUCGCGCUGAUAUUGAUCAAAUUGCGCUGACGGCGGUUUACAUGUCCGUUCAAUUUGUUAACCGGAAAGUGCAAUGUAAAAAGUCGACAAAAAUUGCUUGCUCACAUUUACGGGCAUCCCAAGUGCCAUGGUCACGCAACGAAAUUUUUCUCCGGUCAUCGACAAUGACUUAACCCAAAGCGGUCCAAAGGUUGAGUGUCGCAGAGUUUACCUUUGGUGCUCCCUUCCACUUGUUGCGCAUAAUUUGGUUUGAGUUCUCUGAUAAGGGUAUCUCCGGGAUCGGCUUGAAGUAGUGAGUCGCGUUUUCAAGCUAAAACCACCGGCUUAUGCAUCGGCAAUGAAGCGCGUGUUGCCGCAUUUUAGUUAUUGUUGUUGUUGUUGUCGCCCCAAAACUAUGUCCCCAACGUUGUUUUUGAGGCGUGUUGUGGGAGUGACAAUCCUUGGUCACGUGAACUUUUUGAUUUUAAGCGCCUCUUACCACUGACAUUCCUUACUGCGGGGCAGGCACGUACGGCAUGGAGCAAUGUGCGCGUCAUUUUACACACGUGGGGGGUGCGCAGACCAAAGAAAGACAGAAAGAGGCACCAGAUAAAGUAAACAAUGCAAUUGUAGUUAGAAAAUUAUUCAAGUUGGGGCGUACAUUUAUGAUAUUACUGCUGUGAAAGGUUUGAUUUGAAUAUUAGUAGUUUGACCUCGGCAGGGGGUGGCAACAAUUUCCUAAACCAUUUGAUUCUUUCCAAUUAAGGACUUACUCCCAUAAAAAAAGAUAUCCAUUUAGAAGUGAGCCGUUGAUUUUAUGAUAAUGAUGGCUUAGGUCUAAUGGACUGGUUGGUUAAAGAAGUCGAUAGUAUUUCUGCUUCUCUCCACCGACUUUUCUUGUCUAUUCCUACAAACUACUUGAAGUUGUAUAUAUCGAGCUUCAUAAUCCACAAAUUUUAUAUUAAUAUAAUAAAGUUAAUAUAAAUGGUAUCUAGUUCCUUUGACGUUCUUUUAGGUGGCUCGGCGUUGUCCGAUACGGCAGCGUUGGCAGAGCUGUCAUCGACUAUUGGCCUAAUAUGCAAAGUGCACUCCAAAAGUGACGUUAUACUUGAAACCAAGUGGGCAAUCUAAUCACACGUGACUGCUACUUCUUGCACUGACUUUGACGACUCCUCUUCCGUGUCGUUCACCAUAGAUAUAUACAAUGAUUCACAAAUUGAUUCUGAACUGCUUCCAAUAUUCGCUUCCUGAACUGCCGUUUCACCAAUAGACUCCUUGUUCCUGCCAUUUAUCUUAGCUUUGGCUCUAGUCAGCAUUUAAUGUAAUACAUUUACGCAGGGAAACAAAUUUUUAAAUGAAGUAUAGACGAAAUCAAAGGCAGCUUUUACUAUUUUCAACUUCCAAUCAAUCAAAUCAUUAUACAGCCCCCAAAAUGUUUUAAUGUUGGGGUCCAACUAUUUGCAUUGAGGCCUGAGUACAUAGAUUUCCCAUCUGAAGAAACCCUUAUUAUCUUAGUUUCAACAGAAAACAUUACACUUUUCCACUCCUUUGCUGUCCAAGGGCUGUAUUUACUUGCGGACUUUAAGCGUUCGCCGAGUAAUGGUAUCUUCCUAAAGAAAGUCUGUGACUUUCUUAACAAAGUAAAUAAAACACGAUGUUUGCAGUUCAACGUUUAAUUCGAGACCAAUGCAUAUUCAUACCUAUAAUAUGGGCGCUACAUAUAGUGACAUAAGCAUUGUUACAAACUCAGUGUUGUACUUAAAAGUAUUACAUUUCAACACCCUUCCUCAAUGCGUAUGUCCUUAAAUAAGUUUUAAAAUUUUCAUAAACUUUAUUACCUUUUUCUUCAGGCACGUUCUUAGUCAAAAUAUCUGCAAACAUAUUUCAGAUUUAUUCAAAACUUCUCUUACAAAAUGAUAUUUUAUGUCUAUGUGCUUCGUCCUGGCGUGAUCUACUGGUUUCUUUGCUAAAUGUUGUGCACUCAAGUUCGUGGAAUCUCUAGCAUCACCGCAUCCGAUCUCGUUGAUAAUUCUCCACAAGUGCAAUGCUUCAUUCGAACUUUUCACAAAUUUUUGCCUUAAAGUAGAUCGCCGUCAACAUAAACAAGCAUUAGAUACAGACUAACUUCUAUAACUUGCUUUGACAAUCAUGAAACCCAGAUCUUUUAAUGUUGCAUUCAGCUUGGAGUUUCACGCCCCUUCCUACUCGCUAUUCAAAUACGUCCAUCUGAUGAGAUGCAUCUGUAAUGCCGCCGCUAAUGCCAGUACCAAACGUAUCGUCUCAAACCGACAUACUUGAAAAAAAAAAGUUUCCGAAUAGUUGAUGCCGAAUAUGAGCGUUUGGGUGUGUCUUUGACAUCCACUGUGGAAGCGAUGUGUCUGCGAUUACGAUAUGGGGUAUUUUUAUCCAACAGAACUCAUCCUCUUUAAACUAAAGUCCUAACAUUUUGUUCCAUUCACGUACCGAUUGCUUAAAGCAGCAGAUUGCUCUCUCUGACUUGAAUAUAGUUUUCGGUUUGUACGUGUUAAAAGUACAUUUUGAAGGCUUCAGAAAUCUUUUUCUAAAAGGAACCUCAACCGAUAUGGAGUUGCAAAAAUAAAAAAUUCAAAGCUUCUUUGCUAAGUACUUAUUCUGAACUGACUCUGUUUUCUUUAUUAGCUUCUUAUUUAUUCUGAAAUUCUAUGAAAUAAGAUACGCUUAUGAAUGUAUGACUAUGA